CGAGCUGUGGCGGGAGAGUCCCGUCGUCCUCAACGAGGACGUUCGGGCGCCGAAGGAGCAAGUCCUCCCCUGGAAUCUCUCAGGCCCCCGUACCGCCACCGGCUG
rnacentral:ncRNA from 2 species